AGCUGGUGAUUGAAAAGUGACAGUGAUAACGAAACGGACGCAAUUUUGUUUUGAUGUUAAAUUCGAAGUUAUUUUAACCGAAAAUAAAUAAUAAAGUUGCUUAAAUUCAUACAAAUUGCUUAUCGAGAUUGAUUUUACAAACCUAUUACACGACAAUCGAAAUGACAUCAGAAAAGAACGCGCAAGUUGGCCAAGCACGGGAAGCCUUCCAAACGAUGUAUCAAAUAUCGCAGCUCCUUUGCACCGGUCUGGACGCUGAAACUCUGUCUAUAUGCAUUAGAUUAUGUGAGCUAGGUGUGGACCCUGAGGUCUUAGCCCAUGUCAUCAAGGAAAUCCGGAAAAUGGGAGAUAACGCUGCACAAAACAGACCCGUUAAUUUACAACCAUAAAAAUAACCUAACAGCUCCUUGAUUCAAAAUUGUUACAAGCAUACUUCCUAAUCUGCCCCAAUGAAACAUGUAAUAUUUUGGUAUGAUGCUAUUGUAACUAACAGUAUUUUUAACAUUUACUAUUGAAAAAGAUUGUAACAAUUUUUAUGUAAGAUAUAAUUCUCAGACCUUGUUUUCAAAUUUCUCAUAACUUGCACCAUGUUCUUGACUACUAUACAAGCCCCAAGAUGUUUUAAAAUAUUAAGUGAAAAAUUCUAAUAUGGAAACAACCCUUAUAGUUGUAUAGGUAUCACCAUAGAUGACUACCAUUUUGUUUAUUUAUUUGUUGUUCUCUUUUGCAUACCAGGUCAUUGUUUGUAAAUUACUGACACUAUUUUAGUGAGUAGUAUAAAUGAAUCUCGAUGGUUUACAAUUUUUAUAAGGACUAAAAAAAGGAAAAGAUAGUUCUGUUGGAAUGUUGUGUAUUGUUUACACACAUUCUGUUAUUGUAAGUAUGAAAUGAUGCCCCAAGAUUAUUGAAAAACUAAUAAAAAAACAAUGUCAUUGAUAAAUGUAAAUAAUUUACCAUUAAUGUAGUAGUUAGGAUUUAUUGCAUGAAAACAAACAAAAAAAUAAAACAAGUUAUCUAUAAAA